GGGUUGUGAGGUUAAGCGACUAAGCGUACACGGUGGAUGCCCUGGCAGUCAGAGGCGAUGAAGGACGUGCUAAUCUGCGAUAAGCGCCGGUAAGGUGAUAUGAACCGUUAUAACCGGCGAUUUCCGAAUGGGGAAACCCAGUGUGACUCGUCACACUAUCAUUAACUGAAUCCAUAGGUUAAUGAGGCGAACCGGGGGAACUGAAACAUCUAAGUACCCCGAGGAAAAGAAAUCAACCGAGAUUCCCCCAGUAGCGGCGAGCGAACGGGGAGGAGCCCAGAGCCUGAAUCAGCAUGUGUGUUAGUGGAAGCGUCUGGAAAGGCGCGCGAUACAGGGUGACAGCCCCGUACACAAAAGCGCACAUGCUGUGAGCUCGAUGAGUAGGGCGGGACACGUGGUAUCCUGUCUGAAUAUGGGGGGACCAUCCUCCAAGGCUAAAUACUCCUGACUGACCGAUAGUGAACCAGUACCGUGAGGGAAAGGCGAAAAGAACCCCGGCGAGGGGAGUGAAAAAGAACCUGAAACCGUGUACGUACAAGCAGUGGGAGCACCCUUUGGGGUGUGACUGCGUACCUUUUGUAUAAUGGGUCAGCGACUUAUAUUCUGUAGCAAGGUUAACCGUAUAGGGGAGCCGCAGGGAAACCGAGUCUUAACCGGGCGUUAAGUUGCAGGGUAUAGACCCGAAACCCGGUGAUCUAGCCAUGGGCAGGUUGAAGGUUGGGUAACACUAACUGGAGGACCGAACCGACUAAUGUUGAAAAAUUAGCGGAUGACCUGUGGCUGGGGGUGAAAGGCCAAUCAAACCGGGAGAUAGCUGGUUCUCCCCGAAAGCUAUUUAGGUAGCGCCUCGUGAAUUCAUCUCCGGGGGUAGAGCACUGUUUCGGCUAGGGGGCCAUCCCGGCUUACCAACCCGAUGCAAACUGCGAAUACCGGAGAAUGUUAUCACGGGAGACACACGGCGGGUGCUAACGUCCGUCGUGAAGAGGGAAACAACCCAGACCGCCAGCUAAGGUCCCAAAGUCAUGGUUAAGUGGGAAACGAUGUGGGAAGGCCCAGACAGCCAGGAUGUUGGCUUAGAAGCAGCCAUCAUUUAAAGAAAGCGUAAUAGCUCACUGGUCGAGUCGGCCUGCGCGGAAGAUGUAACGGGGCUAAACCAUGCACCGAAGCUGCGGCAGCGAACGUAUCACCCAAGACAACUUUACGGAGUUAACGAUUGACGGAGCGAAGCGACGUCAAAGCGUUCAUUAAAGUCGAGUUGGCUUAGGGAUACGUUCGUUGGGUAGGGGAGCGUUCUGUAAGCCUGUGAAGGUGGCCUGUGAGGGUUGCUGGAGGUAUCAGAAGUGCGAAUGCUGACAUAAG
rnacentral:rRNA from 1 species